rnacentral:ncRNA from 1 species
UGAAGGUAAAAUAUGGAAAUCAAAGACAUUGGUAGUGUUCAGAGGUCAGUGUCGGCAAAAGUUAAUCAAUAAAAGUUUGUUGAUUAAAAGAUAAUUAAAAGUGAUUCACGGGCAUCCUUCGAUUUUUUUCUUCAAUAUUUUCACCUUAAAGCUUCAUCAGCUUCGAGGUUCACUGUUCUUCAGAAAAAUUAAACUGAGUUGAGUUGGUUUGCUUUGAAGGGUGAAAGAUCCCACCUUCGGAUAUUUGUUGAUUUGUUUUUCUCAGAAACAAUACAACUGUCGACGGUCCGGUAAGUGCCGACCGUAGUGGCAACGGGUGACGGAGAAUCAGACUUCGAUUCCGGAGAGGGAGCAUGCGAAACGGCUACCACAUCCAAGGAAGGCAGCAGGCGUGCAAAUUACCCACUCUCGACACAGGGAGGUAGUGACG